CUUUUUUUUUUUUUUUAAGAUUUUUAUUUAUUUAUUCAUGAGAGACAGAGAGAGAGAGAGAGAGAGAAGCAAAGGGAGAAGCAGGCUCCAUGCAGGAAGCCCGAUGUGGGAUUCAAUCCCAGGACUCCAGGAUCACGCCCUGGGCAGAAGGCAAGCACUAAACCACUGAGCCACCCAGGGAUCCCUCUAAGCAGCUUUAUAGUGAAACAUUUCGUUUAGAAGUCUGGACCUUCUUUCUUCAGUUUGCUGUAAUCUACAUUCACUGAGUAAAACUUGUAUUGAUCAUUGGAACCCAGAUUGUUCCAGGGUUCUUGGUUAUUCUUAUCUCAACUGACAUCUAGAUUGAACAAUGCCAAGCGCAAGACAUACAGCACUGCUCUAGUACCUCCUGCCCCAAUAAAUACGAAGAAUGAGAUCAAGCUUGGAUGCUUCUUGGCCUGACCGAUGAUCUGGUUAAGCAGAGGCCUCUUGUGCAGGAGAAGGAAAAACCAAGUGUCUGCAAGGCCCAGAACUAGGUAAUGUCCCAUGAGGAACUCAUUUAAUCCUCCUUCACAACAACCCUAUCCAGUCAGUUUAUGUAUCACAUGAGGAAACUGAGGCACAGAGAGGUAAAGUGACUUGUGCAAAGUCAUACAAUUAUGAGGUGCCAGAGCUCGGAUACAGAUCCAGGUACCACAGAGGACAUAUUGGGAGUCUUGGAGAAAAUGAGCAUUAGGAAACAUACUUGUAGAGAAAUCUUUCACUAAGAUCAACAGAGAGAAUGCAUUCUUAGAAAAAUAGAUUAGGAAUUCUUGGAGGUGGAUAUUAGAUAACUGAUACUGCUUGAGUUGCCUCAGUUUCUUAUUGGAAGCCCUGAGUGAGGGUUUACCAAGCCUUUGAUAUUUGCACCCACAUCACCUCAAACUCCAGCAUUGGUACCUAUAUGGUUGCCAAAGGCCGCCUUUCCCCAAGCCAGGUCACCCAGAUCUAACCUCAGGGUUCUGGGCACGUGUUCUUGCUUUGCCACCAUUACCAUCUUGCUGUAUCAUUCACAGUUUUAUAUGAUGGACAGGUACCAUGCACAUAUGCUGGCAGUGUGUGACAAUAACCAGUUUGUGGUCACACAGUAAGCUGGCCCCAAGGCUGCAGAGGGCUGAACACAGCAGGCCUGGCCAGGGUUUACCACAAGCUCACACUCUUUAACUUCCACACUGUCCUUCUGGCUAUGGUCAUGCCAGUCACACAUUGCUGGGCUCUUUCUGCCUGGGGCAUCAGUUCCAUUUCCUGCUCAGCAGCUACUAAUUUUUCUUCAACCACAAGGUGUGUAUAAUAAAGCAAAGCCAGCACCAAAGCUCAGAUUUAAGGUAGGUUUGUAUUUCUGCUUUUUGCACUGUGUAGGGAAAAGACAGAAAACUCUAGACUGUGCCUCAGAGUUAUUCUUCAGUCAUAGGAUAAACUAUUGGAUGAGAGAAUGGUCCAAGUAAGGGAAUGUGGUAGCUCAUGAAACUAACUUCAUGUGCUGAAACAUGCCACAAGAUUACAGUUUGGAAAGUCUCCCCCCCCCUCAUUCUUUCAACUUUUCCCUCUUGUCUCAGCAAUAUAUAUCCAACUCUGCAUGGUGCCUAGACCAUUGCAAUGAAUGGAUGAAUGCACAGGGUGUGGGUGGGUAUGUGGGUGUGUUGGGACGUGAUUCAGAGCACUGUUGAUAGUUUGAAAAGACCCAAAUCGAUGGCUUCCCACCUGGUCAUUAGUCAUUAGGCCAGGCAGAAAGAAUGAAAAGAUCUAAACAGAUCUAUUCGGAGGGCGGUAUUAAACAACGUGCAGUCAGUUGUCAAACCACAACCCCAGUCCACAAAUCUCACAGGUAACAUUUCCCCUUGAAUUGUAGCCAUUUAAGCUCCAAAGCAGGAGGAUGACAGAGAUGCACAUCUAUUCCAUUUAUAACCAGUAGGUGGCACCUGUUUCAGGAAUUGCAAAAUAGGUUGUUCAUAACUUGGAGCUCUGGUCAGCCUAGCCCCAGAUGAAAUGUCAAGUGCUUGCUGGGUGGGUAGUGGAGCUUGCCAAGGGCCAGUGCUGCCAGGGUAUGUUUAAGAAGCCAGUGCCCCAGGAGAGGCCUGGAUUCAUGACUGCAACAAUGAGCUCAGCCUACCUAAAAUAGCAACUCCCUCUCACUACAGACUCAUCCUCUAUCAUUUUGCCCUUUACUUUCUUUAAACAUUUAUCACACAUGACUUUACAAUUUAUGUUUAUUUGUUUAUUUUCUGUCUCCCACCAUAAGAAUCUAAACUCCACAAGAGCAAAGACUUUAUUUUGCUCCCUACGGUACAACCUGCUCUUACAGUACCUAGCGCUUAGUAAGCCCUCAAGAAAAAUAUUGGAUAAAUGAAUAAGUGAGCGAACACAUGACAACAAACUAUUAGUAACCAAGGUCUGUGGUUGCAUUCCCCUAAUGAGAUACUCUGAAAACCAAAUAAUGCUAAGUUAUUGUCAUUGUUUGUAGUCAGUGAAUUUGUGUCCCUUUUAUUCAGCUAAAGCAACCUGCCUGAGAAUUAGAGUGGUUUCAUUUUUUAAAUCUAUCUUGAUCCUACUGUGCUCUCUGGGAAGUGAUCCCUCCUUGUCAGGAGCAGUCUUGCUGGGCCAUCAGACCCCUAAGGGUGGUCUUCUGCAGGCUGAUCAGGACUGCCUGAGGGAAGAAGGAAGCUGGGAACGACAAAUACUCAGGACACUCAAACUGGGUUCACAGUCCCCUGGAGUAAAUGAUGCUACAGAAAGGAAGCCUCACCAAGCUUCAAAUUUCCUAUGCAUGGGCCCCUCAUGGCUACAUUUAGGACCUGAAUAUGGGCGGAUAGCUUGCCUAGCAAGAAGGCUGUAGAUAACAAGCCUCCCUGAGCUUGGUGAGAAACUACUUUAGUCUUCAUCUAAUCCAUUUGCCUCCCAAAUACUGGCUAAGAGUGAUAUAGACUUGGGUAAGGCUCUCAGGACCCAUCCUGCUGCGUGAAAGGAAGCAAAGAUGCUGACAGCCCUAGAGAGGCAUCCCUUCUGGACUGAGGAGAAGGAUCAAGCCUGAGCUUGGUGUGGGUGCCUGGGUUUCCCGGCACACUGGCCCACCAGUGGUAGUAGCCUGCAGCCAGCAACAGCCCUAGUGCUCUCCCCAUAAAGGUUUCUGCCUGAGGGCAAGCAAGUCCUAGCUUUGUGCUGUGCAGCAACAAUCUUUCCCAAAUUACCACAUGACAAUUUUAAAAUCACCUGCAAACCUAAAUCCAGUGAAUGCCUACAGACAACACACUUAACAGCUCAGAGAAUGAUUCAGAGGAAGCAAUUUUCCACAGUGAAGAUAAUCAUCUGGUAGUGUGAAAAGGCAAACACUCUUUUAUUAGCAUUGGAAACUCAAGGGAAAUGUUGCUAAAUCCAUAAAUGCAGCACUUGAGUAAAUGCUCAAGAACAAUAUCCACAGCUGGAAGGAAGGACCUGUACAGAUUCCAAUUCCCCUCAGAGUCCUCUCACAGAAUGUGCUCUCUUGGAGGGCAGGGAAAACUCAGCUCUGACCUCUUCCUGUUUACCGAACAAUCAGCUCCUCCAGUCCUGCCCUGAUCCCACACGGGGAAUCCCAGAAUUCAGAGAUCCCAUCCCUGAUCCUCUUGAUGUACACACUUGGCCCAGGUGACCUCAACCUCAUGCCUCAGGUCUUUAUUCUGUGACACUAAAAUUCAUAUUCUGGUGCUGACCUCUUUUGGGACUUCAUAAGAUCAAUUGCCUCUCUGAACUCUCAGUUUGGAAUCCUGAACAGGGACCUCAGACUAGAAAUGGCCGAAACUAAGCUCUUGGUCAUCAAUCCUUUUCCAGUAUCUUAUUAUUGCAUAAGAAAUCACCCCAGGGAUUCCCUGAGUGACUCAGUGGUUGAGUGUCUGCCUUGGGCUCAGGUCAUGAUCCCAGGGUCUUGGGAUCAAGUCCCUCAUCGGGCUCCCCACAGGAAGCCUGCUUCUUCCUCUGCCUAUGUUUCUGCCUCUCUCUGUGUGUCUCUCAUGAAUAAAUAAAAAUAAAAUCUUUAAAAAGAAGAAAAAGAAAUCACCCCAAAACCUAGUGGCCUAAAUCAACAACAAUCAUCAAUGUUGCUCUCGAGUCUACAAUUUUGGUGUGGCUCAACAGGGAUGGCUCUGUGAGGUAUACCAGCUGAGGAGCUCACUAUGGGGCCAGGGGUUCCACUCCCACAAUGGCUCACUCACAUAGCUAGCAAGUUUUACUCGCUGUCACCUGGAAAGCAUAGCUGGGGUACGGGUGGGGGGCCUUGGUUGCUCCCGGCAUGGCUGCUCCACAGGCUGCGCUGGCUUUCUCAGCAGUGAUUGAGUUCCUGGCGUGGGCAAAAGAGGUGCAAAAUGCCAGUGUCUAGAGUCCUGGGCCCAGAAACUGGUAAAACGUUAUUUCUUCCACACUGUGUUAAGCAAGCAGUCACAUAGCCCACAUUUAAGGGGAGGGGGGAAAAGACCAUCAACUUUACAUGGAAGCAGUAUUAAAGAGUUUGUGGACCUGUUUUACAACUGUCACAUGUCCCAAGCCCUCUCUUCCUGUGGUCUCCUCCAGCCACCAGUUGCUCAGGCAACUAGGCCUCCUUGGUUGCUGCUCCUCCCUUCCCUUCCAUCCAAUCCUCAUGCAAAUUUUUGACUGCCCCAAAACAGAUCCAGAAACUUUCUUCCCUUCUACAACCUUACCUCAGAAAACCUCAUCUCCCACCUGGAUGGCUGUUUGGUUGGUUACAAUCGUUGGCCAAAGGCUCUCUGCUUCCAUGCCUUUUUCCAGAAUCUAUUCAUACAGUAACCAGAACUAUUUUUUAAAACAUAUAUCAGAUCAUCCCACUCCUCUGCCUAAACCUUCUGAAAGCUUUACAACAUAUUUAGAAUGAAACUUGAAACUCUCAUUCUGGUUUCCAGAGCUUGACGUGCUCUGGCCCCUAUCCAGUCCCUUGGCCUCAUCUUGUCCCACUCCCUUCUCACUGGACGGUGACCACACACACACACACACACACACACACACACACUGGCUCUGGCCUGCCAGCCUUUGCACUUGGCUUCCCUCUAUCUGGAGUGCUCUUCCCCUUGACUGUUCCAAGGCCGGUUCCUUCUGGCCAUUUUUAGUUUGAAAUGUCACUUCCCCAGAGAGGCUAUCCACAAUCGAUCAUUCUAAAGUGGUGACGCAGUCAUAUGUCACAUUAACCUACUACGUAACACUUAAGGCUAGCUGAUGCUUUUUGUGGUGACUUAUUGAUUCCUCGGCUGUCUCCUCCCUCUAAAACAUAAGUACCAUGAGAGUAGGGACUCCGUGUCUUGUCACUGUGCAUCCCUAAGGCCUAGAACAGUGCCUGGCACAGAGCAGAGGUUCGAUAAAUAUUUAUUGAUUUAGUAGGUAGUAACACUAGCUGCAGGCAGGCAGUCUUCCACAGCAUCUCUUGGGGUCGUUAGCAGGGAUAGAGAGGAAGGUUGGGGGGCCUUGGCUGCUUAUGCUUAUCCCGGGAGCUCAGCGCUGGUGUGGGCCUGCUCCUGGAGGGUGCCUCACAGAAACCACGUUUAUGCGGCCUGGUUCCACCCCCCAGUAUAUCUCCAUCCCUAGCUUUCCUGUAACACCAGCCAUACAGAACUACACGGUCAUGAGCACAAAGUUAGCAAUGUGCUUGGACAGGAUGGCACAGUUCACUUACCUCAUGUUCGCAUCGGGCAGGUCACUGACUCAGGUUGUAUUGCAUUUGAACUUUCAUUUUAUGAUUAGACUCAGAAAUGUAGGCAAAAUUCUGAUAUGACAAAUUCUAAGUGCUUAUUUUGAUUAUUAUUAUUUUUUUAAUGAAGAUGUUUAAAUUUUUGAAAAAUUUGGAGAUGAAGGGGGCACCUGGGUGGCUCAGUGGUUGCGCAUAUGCCUUGGGCUCAGGUUGUCAUCCCGGGGUCCUGGGAUUGAGUCCUGCAUCAGGCUCCCUGUGGGGAGCCUGCUUCUCUCUCUGCCUAUGUCUCUACCUCUCUUUCUGUGUGUCUCUCCUGAAUAAAUAAAUAUCUUAAAAAAAAAAAAAAGAAAUUUGGAGAUGGGUAUUCAGGACCUAUCUAAAUAAAGAAGAAAAGUUUGAUUAGGGUUUUUUUUUUCUUUUUAAAUUAAU
rnacentral:lncRNA from 1 species